rnacentral:rRNA from 1 species
UACGUAGGGUGCAAGCGUUGUCCGGAAUUACUGGGCGUAAAGGGCUCGUAGGUGGCCAACUAAGUCAGACGUGAAAUCCCUCGGCUUAACCGGGGAACUGCGUCUGAUACUGGAUGGCUUGAGUUCGGGAGAGGGAUGCGGAAUUCCCGGUGUAGCGGUGAAAUGCGCAGAUAUCCGGAGGAACACCGGUGGCGAAGGCGGCUCCUGGAC